GUCAUUGUGUUAAUGUUUUUAUUUGCAUUUGUUGUUACGAUUCUGCAAUACAUUAUUUUUAUACAUACUACAUAGCAUAGCUUUUUGAGUAAUUUUUGAUUCUCAAUAUGUUGAAUAUGUUUGUAAUCUCAUUGGUUUAAACAGGCACUACAUUAGAACGGGUGAUUUCAGCAUAUGUAGGAUAGAUGGCGAAAUGUUUGACCGCUUCAAAAUUAUUUUCGCGGUAUUUUAUUUCCUGUUUAGUCAUUCAGCACGAC
rnacentral:lncRNA from 1 species